rnacentral:rRNA from 1 species
UACGGAGGGUGCAAGCGUUAUCCGGAUUCAUUGGGUUUAAAGGGUGCGUAGGCGGACUAUUAAGUCAGUGGUGAAAGCCUGCAGCUUAACUGCAGAACUGCCAUUGAUACUGAUAGUCUUGAGUUUGGUUAAGGUAGGCGGAAUGUGUAAUGUAGCGGUGAAAUGCUUAGAUAUUACACAGAAUACCAAUUGCGUAGGCAGCUUACUGAGCCGACACUGACGCUGAGGCACGAAAGCGUGGGGAUCGAACAGGA